rnacentral:rRNA from 1 species
UCUGACCUCUGACCUCAAAUCAGGUAGGACUACCCGCUGAACUUAAGCAUAUCAAUAAGCGGAGGA